UACGGAGGAUGCAAGCGUUAUCCGGAAUUAUUGGGCGUAAAGAGCUCGUAGGCGGUUUGUCGCGUCUGCCGUGAAAGUCCGGGGCUCAACUCCGGAUCUGCGGUGGGUACGGGCAGACUAGAGUGAUGUAGGGGGAGACUGGAGUUCCUGGUGUAGCGGUGAAAUGCGCAGAUAUCAGGAGGAACACCGAUGGCGAAGGCAGGUCUCUGGGCAUUAACUGACGCUGAGGAGCGAAAGCAUGGGGAGCGAACAGG
rnacentral:rRNA from 1 species